UUAGCUGUGUUGCAUAGGAGAGGUGGACGCGCUCUGUGUAGUCUCCACAGAAUAUCAACCCUCUCUCUCUCUCUCUCUAUUUCGCUCUGUUGUUCCCACUGACAACCGAUUGGUUAAAAAAAAAAAUUAAUAAGAAGGUCCGUAUAAAUUAUAAGGCUGGCAAUCCCAUUUUAGAAUUCCCAGGAAUAUGUUCCUGAAGAGGACAGUGAACAGGACUCGCAAAUCAUUCAAGAUAUGAACGCACCUGGAAGGGUCGUACCAUUGUGGAACUCUCAUAAUAAUUAGAAUAAAGAAAAUUACUGAGAGACAAAGGUCUUGGAAAUUGUGGGAUCGCUGGAAAUAAUUGAAUAUUAACGCAACUGCCGGGACAUUAUUGAAAAUUAACCGCUCCAGCCAUUGUGGACCCUUCCGAACAUUGAGAAUCAUUGGAAUGUUCUGAAAUGAAAAAGAGGUCGUAUCAUAAUCCUGUGGAGAAAUGAGUCAUAAGAAAAGUUCCCUCUCGUAAUUAAGAUAAAAAGUCGUUCUCUUCAUCCGCUUAAGGUUUUGAAUCACCUAUGAAGGAUUUUUAUUAAUCCAUUGAAGACUGGUAUCCGAAUGUAAUCUCCCUGGAAUCAUUGUAAUCACUGUGUAAUUCAUAUAUACUGGUGCAGAAUAAUGUAAUGAUUUGGUAUAGAUUCUCCUGUGGUCGCCAAUAUUGACGUUACGGUUUAAAGGAGAGAUACGAGUUCAAUAGUAUAUUUAUAAAAUUUAUGAAAAAUAGAAAAUAUAUAAUUAUAGUGCUUCUGUGAUGAAAUCUCUAGCCUGGAAAAAGUUGUAAUAUAGAAAGUGAUAAUAGUGAAUUUGUUAUCGAGCUCUUCAUAAGAAAGUACGUGGAAUCGAGAUCAAAUAUAAUUUUUACUAAAAAAAAAAGGAAAAAAAGUGAAACAAAGUCUAGAAAAGUAAAAAAAAGAAAAAUAUUACAGCCAGUUUGAUACGAAGUAAAGGAAAUAUCACAGUAGGUCAAUUGUGCUUGCAAGUGAAAAGGGAUUGUGAUUCUAAAUUCUGGAAAAAAAAAUUCCGUUGUCAGUUUAUAAUAAAAGAAUUCCAGUGUGUCUAAAAGUUAAUUGUGACGGUGUGCAAAUCAAGUAUAUAUCGCUGAGAGGAUCAUUCGUAAAGGAAAUUCAAUUGCACUCUGCUUUGCAAGUAGACCAAACAGAAAAGAAAGGAUCGAUCGUCAAGCAGAGAAGCAGGAAGAAGCAUCGAAAUAGUUCCAAGAUGCCGGGGAAACACCUAAGGAAACCUGUUUGUUCGGAGUACAUCCGUCGGCACAGCUUCCAGCAUGGGUUUGGUAAGUGUUGCAAAUACGGUCACACCUAAAAGCUGUCUAUAGCCUCGGUAUACGUGUAUGGUUCUGAGUGAGUACAUAUAAAAUUGAUGUGUUUAAACGUCGACGAUAGUUCGAUACGUUAUUUAUUCACUAGUUGUUAGUAAAAUAUGCCAUAGGUACUAAGCAAUAAGACCAAACUUUAGGCAUCUUGCCUAGAAGGAGUCGUGCUACCCCCAACAAAUAUCUGCAAUUGAAAGAAUAUAUUUUUCUAUUCCAGUUUUGUGUUGUUUUUG